CUGGAAUUAAGCAUAUAAUUAAGCGGAGGAAAAGAAACCAACUGGGAUUCCCCUAGUAAGGGCGACUGAAGCGGGAUCCAGCUCAUAUUGUGAAUCUGCGUAACCUCCCUAGGAGGCACGCCGAAUUGUGGUCUGAAGAGGUGACAUCGGUUGAUUGUUCUGGACCAAGUCCCUUGGUAUAGGGCAGCUGAGAGGGUGAAACUCCCGUUCUUGUCUAGAGUGAUCAACCUUAGCAUGUUGCUUCAACGAGUCGAUUUUCUUGGGAUUGAAGAUCAAAUUUGGAGGUAAAUUCCUUCUAAAGCUAAAUAUUGGUGGGAGACCGAUAGCGCACAAGUACCGUGAGGGAAAGAUGCAAAGAACUUUGAAAAGAGAGUUAAAGAGUACCUGAAAUUGCUGAAAUGGAAGCGAAUGAAACCAGUGUAAUGUUGUGUUAUAUUUCUCCUGUUGUUUACAGCAGGAGCACUGUGACAUGAUUGUGGUCAGCAUCAGUUUGUACUGUGGGUGAAAUAGUGGUUCAAGAGGUAGCUUCUUUGAAGUGUUAACUUGCUCCACUGAUCCUGCAGGAGACUGAGGUAGUCACUAUGUGCUCGUGAUGCUGACAAAAUGGUUUUAUUCUCCCCGUCUUGAAACCGGGAAACCAAGG
rnacentral:rRNA from 1 species